UGGGGAAUAUUGCACAAUGGGCGCAAGCCUGAUGCAGCAACGCCGCGUGAACGAUGAAGGUCUUCGGAUCGUAAAGUUCUGUUGCAGGGGAAGAUAAUGACGGUACCCUGUGAGGAAGCCCCGGCUAACUACGUGCCAGCAGCCGCGGUAAUACGUAGGGGGCUAGCGUUAUCCGGAUUUACUGGGCGUAAAGGGUGCGUAGGUGGUCUUUCAAGUCGGUGGUUAAAGGCUACGGCUCAACCGUAGUUAGCCUCCGAAACUGGAAGACUUGAGUGCAGGAGAGGAAAGUGGAAUUCUCAGUGUAGCGGUGAAAUGCGUAGAUAUUGGGAGGAACACCAGUAGCGAAGGCGGCUUUCUGGACUGCAACUGACACUGAGGCACGAAAGCGUGGGUAGCAAACAGG
rnacentral:rRNA from 1 species